GUUCGAGGACAGUGCGCUGGAAGACAAUCGGGAUGCAAUCCCGAUCGAUAGGGAUUCGGUUCAAGUGAUGAGGUAGAGGAAAUGCCUGAUGGAUCCUGCAUGAACGUCUCCAGCACCACAAGCGGCGGUAAAAGGAAGUCCUCUAAUGGGACGCUAUAAUGUAAGAAGAAAAAAAAUGUCUGCACGAGAGCUGUCAUUCUCCAUCAAUUCGGCCACCAGUGUCGCGAAGAAAGUGCCGGCGAAGAUUAAUACCAUGAUGGCCUCAAACAACAACGCUGGAGCUGCCUGUGUAGAGAAGUUGUUAGCGAUGGGACGACUUGAACGGCGUACAACGCUUAACUUUUUCGCCUGUGCAAUUCUGGCUAAAAAGCCCUAUCGGGACAUGCUCGUCACUAUGAAAGACGCGUAUGAAAAAUUUGAGUAGAUUGAGUGGCUGUUCAACGAGUGGGACAAGCAAUUUCGCCUUUGAUUGUUCACGUUAGAUGUACUUGUAUGUGUUGUCACGAAUACUUUUUAACUUUUGCAUGCAUCUGUCUGUCCCCGUUGUACAUUAUUGUGUUUAAAUGUUUUGCGUGUUGCAAUGUCAAAACAGUUUUAACUUGUUGACCACGGUCAUUUGAGCAUGUUAAUAAUUCACGCGUCGAAUGAGGCAAUUGUAGGUUGAAUUGGAUGUAACAUGAAAUUUGA
rnacentral:lncRNA from 1 species